GCUGUCCAUGGAGAGGAUUAGUGCAGUGCUCCGGAGACCAGGCUCAGAGCCCAUGAGGGCAACUUAGCACAGGGCAAGGCGCCUGCCUGGACUCUGCUGUGCGUCUCCCUGUGCAAGUGCUUCUGUCACUCGGACACUGUCUAGUGUGGGCGUCACCACAGACUAUUAAAGGGACUUCCUGACCUAGGACUGCUGGCCUGCAAAACUGUGGGCUAAAGAAAACUCUGUAUGAAGUACCCAGCGGCAAGUAUGUUGCUAUAGUAACAGAAAACUAAGCUCCAGAUGCCCUGGUACAAACAGCUCUCCGUCUCCAACCGCCAAACCUGCUCAUUGUUCAUCUUCUCACCACCAGCCAUCAAGUGGAAACCAAGGUUCAACACCGGGUCUCCAUGACACCUCUGAUCUCGCUCCUUCCAGUCAGUUGAUAGUGAUCACAUAUCACUUUAUAAUUAAAACACCAAUUGUGAGAACAGAAGUUACAGUCUCCAAAAGAGAAAUGGAACAACUUUACCAGGACAUCUAUGCCUUAUACCAAGCUCAGCCUGUACCGGGGAUAGCGCCAUCCCCAGCCCCUGCUCCGUAAACGUGAAGGAGGAGCCCAGUAGGCAGAGGCGGCUCCCUCAGAAACGUCUGAAUCACAAGGCGGUGAAUCACCUGCACCCACUUUUAAGUUUCGCACACCCUGACCUUCGCUCCUGGAUUCUAGACGCUCCACACUGUAAAAGACAGAGGCGAGCGGACAGAUGUUCACAGCUCAGUGCUUCCCAGCUUUACACAAAAGCCUAGAUUCUGAUGCUGUUCCAGCUAGACCGGGUGGGGGCAGGUUUUAAGCUCACACCCCAACGCCCUCUUCCUCACUCGAGAGGACCAGAACCACACACGUCCGUCCAGUUUGUGGCUCUUUCACGAGGCCUUUAGGAAGAGGGUGAAAACAGCUGAGGCCUGCGGAUCGCGGGAAAGUCACGCCGCCCUAAGGACACCGGGUUGCGUCUCCCUCCCACGGUAGGGGCUCAGCACCCCGGAGGCCAGCAGGGGCUCUGAACACCUGCCCGGACCAACCCGGCCACGGCACCCGGCGACGCCGGCGCAGCACACCCGGGCGACACACCUGCCAGAGUGGCCGCAGAGGGAGGCUGGCGAGGGCACCGGACGCUGCCCAGGCUCGCUCCUGGCCGCUGUUCCCAGGCUGACGGCCUGCGUGCCAGAGACCAGUGGCCACCAGUGUGCGCUUCGGGUGACGCGAAAGAAGGGGCUGAAACCCCGGGGCCACCGGGGAAUGUCACCCCUAACCACAGCACCGUAGGAAGCUGAGGCAGGAGAAUCUCAACCCGGGUGUCCUUAGG
rnacentral:lncRNA from 1 species